rnacentral:rRNA from 1 species
GGCGGCGACCGGCAAACGGGUGCGGAACACGUACAGAACCUUCCUUUAAGUGGGGGAUAGCCCGGAGAAAUCCGGAUUAAUACCCCGUAAUAUUAUUGAGUGGCAUCAUUUGAUAAUUAUAGAUUUAUCGCUUAGAGAUGGCUGUGCGUCUGAUUAGGUAGUUGGUUGAGGUAACGGCUCACCAAGCCUUCGAUCAGUAACUGGUGUGAGAGCACGACCAGUCACACGGGCACUGAGACACGGGCCCGACUCCUACGGGAGGCAGCAGUAAGGAAUAUUGGUCAGUGGACGCAAGUCUGAACCAGCCAUGCCGCGUGAAGGAUGAAGGCCCUCUGGGUUGUAAACUUCUUUUAUCUGGGAAGAAACCACUUUUUUUUAAGGGUGUUGACGGUACCAGAGGAAUAAGCACCGGCUAACUCCGUGCCAGCAGCCGCGGUAAUACGGAGGGUGCAAGCGUUAUCCGGAUUCACUGGGUUUAAAGGGUGCGUAGGUGGGCUUGUAAGUCAGUGGUGAAAUCUCCGUGCUUAACAUGGAAACUGCCAUUGAUACUAUAGGUCUUGAAUUUUCUGGAGGUUAGCGGAAUAUGUCAUGUAGCGGUGA